rnacentral:lncRNA from 1 species
AGAUUUAUUAGAUUUACCAGAAAAUACAUAGUACAAGAGAAAUAAAAACAAGGUUAACAUCAGGUCAAGAGGUUUCGACUCCAGUCCAGUUAGUUUUUCCCAAAAUCAUUUUUCGGCUCCUGUUCUGUGGCUGGCUUGCUGGAUCCAGUUCCUGAUGCCCAGAAAACAUCCAGGAAAGAGAAUCAGAGGCCCUGGAGGAGUCAGAGCUACAGCCCUGGGUGGCUUCUGCAGUUCUGCGUGUGCAAAGACACUUCCUCCUUGGUAAAACUUCAUCUUUCUGGUACAUGCCUCCCAGAUCGUCGAUGGAACUCUUACCCACAUGAGCACAACUCUUCCUUUAUAGAGUAUUGACUAGGAAUGAUAAUUGUCCAAGAAAAGUCUUCAGUGAUAAAAUACACAAUUACUUGUAUAUUUCAGCUUUGUUCUGUUGGUAAUUAUUUGAAUGAUAAGUAAGAUAUUUGAUGAUAUUUCUUUUGUGUUUGGCUCAUCAUAGAUGGUGUCCUUCAAU